rnacentral:rRNA from 1 species
UACGGAGGGGGCUAGCGUUGUUCGGAAUGACUGGGCGUAAAGCGCGCGUAGGCGGAUAGGUAAGUUGGGGGUGAAAGCCCAGGGCUCAACCCUGGAAUGGCCUUCAAGACUCCCUGUCUGGAGUUCGAGAGAGGUAGGUGGAAUUCCGAGUGUAGAGGUGAAAUUCGUAGAUAUUCGGAGGAACACCAGUGGCGAAGGCGGCCUACUGGCUCGACACUGACGCUGAGGCGCGAAAGCGUGGGGAGCAAACAGG